UACGUAGGUGGCGAGCGUUGUCCGGAUUUACUGGGCGUAAAGAGCGCGCAGGCGGUCGUUCAAGUCGCGUGUGAAAGCCCCCGGCUCAACUGGGGAGGGUCACGCGAUACUGAUCGACUCGAAGGCAGGAGAGGGUAGUGGAAUUCCCGGUGUAGUGGUGAAAUGCGUAGAGAUCGGCAGGAACACCCAGGGGGAAACCAGUGGACUGGGCAUGUGCUGACGCUCAGGUGCGAAAGCGUGGGGAGCGAACCGG
rnacentral:rRNA from 1 species